CACGUAGGGGGCAAGCGUUGUCCGGAUUUAUUGGGCGUAAAGAGCUCGUAGGUGGUUCGGUAAGUCAGGUGUGAAACCUCCAGGCUCAACCUGGAGACGCCACUUGAUACUGCUGUGACUGGAGUCCGGUAGGGGAGCGUGGAAUUCCUGGUGUAGCGGUGAAAUGCGCAGAUAUCAGGAGGAACACCAGUGGCGAAGGCGGUUCUCUGGGACGUAACUGACGCUGAGACGCGAAAGCAUGGGGAGCGAACAGG
rnacentral:rRNA from 1 species